GACAGAGGUGCCGAGCGUUAGGCGGAAUCACUGGGCUUAAAGCGUGUGUAGGCGGGCUUGUAAGUACCUUGUGAAAUCCCACGGCUUAACCGUGGAACUGCUUGGUAUACUGCGAUUCUUGAGCCACUUAGGGGCUACCGGAACAAAUGGUGGAGCGGUGAAAUGCGUAGAUAUUAUUUGGAACGCCAAUGGUGAAAACAGGUAGCUGGGAGUGUGCUGACGCUGAGACACGAAAGCCAGGGGAGCGAACGGG
rnacentral:rRNA from 1 species